GGGAAGUCCCUGAAGAUCCUCCUUUAAAAUCAAUGUAUUUGAGAAUCAGAGAUAAGUUAUAAUUCUCUUUUUGCACUUUGUUCUUGUACUAAUUCCAUUUUCUUUCUGAAAUUCACAGCCUCAUGUGUUCAUUCAUUCUGCAGAUAUUUCUUGAGCAAACCUACUGUUUUCCAGGCCCUGGGAUAGACCCCCAGAAGGAGGAAGUGACGUGGAGAUGGGAACAUCUGGCAACAUCUGGGGACAUUGUGAUCGUCAAAACUGGGGCAGGCAGUGCUCCUGGCAUCAAGGGGUAGAGAUCAAGGAUGCUGCUAGACACCCUGCAAUGCCCAGGCCAGUGUCCACAGCCGCUAACUAUCUAGCCCCAAACAUCAAGAGGGCCAAGGUGAAGAAACUCUGGUUUGGACCAGGGUUCAGCCGAUGACAGCCCCUGCUAGCCAGCUGCCUGCUUUGUUUUUCUGGUUUUUUCAUGUUUUAAAGUUUUACUGAAGGCUAGUUGAUUUACAACAACUAGCUGUAUGACAAAGUGAUUCAGUUACAUGUAUGGAGUUGCCUGUUUUUAUCAAUAUAAAUACACUUUUAUUGGAA